GACGAACGCUGGCGGCGUGCUUAACACAUGCAAGUCGAACGGAAAGGCCCUGCUUUUGUGGGGUGCUCGAGUGGCGAACGGGUGAGUAACACGUGAGUAACCUGCCCUUGACUUUGGGAUAACUUCAGGAAACUGGGGCUAAUACCGGAUAGGAGCUCCUGCUGCAUGGUGUGGGUUGGAAAGUUUCGGCGGUUGGGGAUGGACUCGCGGCGUAUCAGCUUGUUGGUGGGGUAGUGGCUUACCAAGGCUUUGACGGGUAGCCGGCCUGAGAGGGUGACCGGCCACAUUGGGACUGAGAUACGGCCCAGACUCCUACGGGAGGCAGCAGUGGGGAAUAUUGCACAAUGGGCGGAAGCCUGAUGCAGCAACGCCGCAUGCGGGAUGACGGCCUUCGGGUUGUAAACCGCUUUCGCCUGUGACGAAGCGUUAGUGACGGUAAUGGGUAAAGAAGCACCGGCUAACUACGUG
rnacentral:rRNA from 1 species